rnacentral:rRNA from 1 species
UACGAAGGGGGCUAGCGUUGCUCGGAAUCACUGGGCGUAAAGCGCACGUAGGCGGACUCUUAAGUCGGUGGUGAAAUCCUGGAGCUCAACUCCAGAACUGCCUUCGAUACUGGGAGUCUCGAGUUCGGGAGAGGUGAGUGGAACUGCGAGUGAAGAGGUGAAAUUCGUAGAUAUUCGCAAGAACACCAGUGGCGAAGGCGGCUCACUGGCCCGAUACUGACGCUGAGGUGCGAAAGCGUGGGGAGCAAACAGG